ensembl:misc_RNA 7SK 7SK RNA
GACUGUGAGGGCAAUCUGGCUGCAACAUGUCAUUCCACUGAUCACCAGGGUUGCUUUGGCUGAUCUAGCUGGCUAGGAAGGUGUCCCCUUUCUCCCUCACUGCUCCAUAUGUGUCCCUCUUUAAGCUGCAUGCUGGGUCAGAGGAUGAUGUUCACGACAGAGGGGGAAUGUUCUUCUGUCGAGGGUAUAUGACUAACUGUGCUUCCCUGUUAGAACCUCCAAACAAGUCCUCCAUUAAGGGUGUUUAUAAGACUGUGAGUUUCAGGUAUAGUAUCUAUCACUGCAAGAUAAACCAACAAAAUAGUCUCGGAAAACAAUUCAUUUUCUU